GGUUCUAUGGCCCAAUGGUCAAGGCGCCCGCCUACGGAGCGGGAGAUUCCAGGUUCGAAUCCUGGUAGAAUCG